GAUGAACGCUGGCGGCGUGCCUAAUACAUGCAAGUCGAGCGAACGGACGAGAAGCUUGCUUCUCUGAUGUUAGCGGCGGACGGGUGAGUAACACGUGGAUAACCUACCUAUAAGACUGGGAUAACUUCGGGAAACCGGAGCUAAUACCGGAUAAUAUUUUGAACCGCAUGGUUCAAAAGUGAAAGACGGUCUUGCUGUCACUUAUAGAUGGAUCCGCGCUGCAUUAGCUAGUUGGUAAGGUAACGGCUUACCAAGGCAACGAUGCAUAGCCGACCUGAGAGGGUGAUCGGCCACCCUGGAACUGAGACACGGUCCAGACUCCUACGGGAGGCAGCCGUAGGGAAUCUUCCGCAAUGGGCGGAAGCCUGACGGAGCAACGCCGCGUGAGUGAUGAAGGUCUUCGGAUCGUAAAACUCUGUUAUUAGGGAAGAACAUAUGUGUAAGUAACUGUGCACAUCUUGACGGUACCUAAUCAGAAAGCCACGGCUAACUACGUG
rnacentral:rRNA from 1 species